rnacentral:rRNA from 1 species
UACGUAGGGUGCGAGCGUUAAUCGGAAUUAUUGGGCGUAAAGCGUGCGCAGGCGGCUUUGCAAGACAGAUGUGAAAUCCCCGGGCUCAACCUGGGAACUGCAUUUGUGACUGCAAGGCUAGAGUACGGCAGAGGGGGAUGGAAUUCCGCGUGUAGCAGUGAAAUGCGUAGAUAUACGGAGGAAGACCAAUGGCGAAGGCAC